AACGAACGCUGGCGGCAGGCCUCAUACAUGCAAGUCGAGCGGACGUAUUCUUUCGGGGGUACGUUAGCGGCGAACGGGUGAGUAACAGGUGGAUAACCUGCCUUCUGGUGGGGGAUAACGGCUGGAAACGGCCGCUAAUACCGCAUGUGGUUGCCGGUCCGCGGACCGGUAAAGAAAGGCGCCGCAAGGCGUCGCCAGAAGAUGGGUCCGCCCCCCCAUUAGCUAGUUGGCGGGAUAACAGCCCACCAAGGCAACGAUGGGUAGCCGGACUGAGAGGUUGGCCGGCCACACUGGAACUGAGACACGGUCCAGACACCUACGGGUGGCAGCAGUAGGGAAUAUUGGACAAUGGGCGAAAGCCUGAUCCAGCCAUGCCGCGUGAACGACGAAGGCCUUCGGGUUGUAAAGUUCUUUUCCGUAGGGAGAAAGACCUGAACAGGAAAUAGGUUGGUUUGACGGUACCUCAGGAAUAAGGGACGGACUAACUACCGUGCCAGCAGCCGCGGUAAUAUAAGCGUACU
rnacentral:rRNA from 1 species